rnacentral:lncRNA from 1 species
UUUUUAGACGGAAUGAAAUAACACUUUCAACUUUCCAAGACUUGUGAUCUCCUAAUAAACAUCACAAAAUCUGUGAAAAUCAGAUUUUCGAUAUAUCCAGACUAGUUAAACUUCCUUUAACAAAAAAAUAGAAUAGUUACUUUUCCAUCAAUCCAUUUUCCAUGUAGAAUAAUACUGUUGAUACUUCAUUCAUAUAUCCAAUUCUUUUGGAUAAAUAAGUUUAUUAACCCAGUCAAGCUUGAAGCUUUAAUCCCAUGUUGAUGAUAUUAAUAUGAUUGCUAGCUAUAUUGAUUAUGUACUGAUAGGACAUUAUCCAAAAUGUAGAUAAAAAUCCCAUCUAUGACCUAACCAUUCAUACUCUUCAUCUAAAUUGUCUAGCAAAUUGAGAUAAAUGACGAUUGAUGAGCUACACAAUUGCUUCAUGGAAAACAAGCGUCACAUGAACUUCUACUUCCCGAUUAGGAUAGCUUCAGAUAUUUCCCAAUAGGGCCAAUUACAUAUAAGUCCACUUUGAGACAUUUUUUCCCACAUAAAUCCACCCCAACAUUUUGACCCACAUAAGUUCACCCAAGUCUAAAUAAGGUUUUAUAUUAAGUAUUAAAGUUCAACAUACAGACUGCCAUCCAACAAAAAAAAUUAGAUUUUCUCCAUUAUAUUUACAAGAAUACCACUAGAAUAAAAAGUCAACAAUCACUCUCAUUUCGGAACAGUCUCCGGCGGACCUCCGGCGAGAUUUCCAGCGGACCUCCGUCGAGGUUUCCGGCGAGAUUUCCGACCAACCUUCCGUGAGGUUUCCGGCCGAUCUCCGAUGAUGACAAAAAUUACUACUACCAGCUAUUAAAGCUACUACCACCAGCUACAAAAGCUACUACCACCGCCUACAAAAGCUACUACUGUGAGGUUACCCAUGAACACAAAAGCUACUACCACCAGCCACAAAAGCUACUACCACCGCUUACAAAAUCUACUACUGUGAGGUUUUCGACAAACACAAAAACUACUACCAUCAGUCACAAAAGCUACUACCACCAGCUACAAAAGCUACUACCACCGCCUACAAAAUCUACUACUGUGAGAUUUCCGACGAACACAAAAAAUACUACCACCAGCCACAAAAGCUACUAGCACCGCCUACAAAAGCUACUACCACCGCCUACAAAAGCUACUACUGUGAGGUUUUCACGAACACAAAAACUACUACCAUCNNN